rnacentral:rRNA from 1 species
CCCUUAGACGUUCUGGGCCGCACGCGCGCUACACUGACGAAGACAACGAGCUUUCCUUUACCGAAAGGUACGGGUAAUCUUUUGAAACUUCGUCGUGCUGGGGAUAGAUCCUUGCAAUUUUUGAUCUUAAACGAGGAAUUCCUAGUAAGCGCAAGUCAUCAACUUGCGUUGAUUACGUCCCUGCCCUUUGUACACACCGCCCGUCGCUACUACCGAUUGAAUGGUUUAGUGAGGCCUUCGGAUCCGCGACUCGUUUUGUGGAGAAGUUGGACAAACUCAGUCAUUUAGAGGAAGUAAAAGUCGUAACA